rnacentral:rRNA from 1 species
UACGUAGGUCCCGAGCGUUAUCCGGAUUUAUUGGGUUUAAAGGGUGCGUAGGCGGCCUGCCAAGUCAGCGGUAAAAUUGCGGGGCUCAACCCCGUACAGCCGUUGAAACUGCCGGGCUCGAGUGGGCGAGAAGUAUGCGGAAUGCGUGGUGUAGCGGUGAAAUGCAUAGAUAUCACGCAGAACCCCGAUUGCGAAGGCAGCAUACCGGCGCCCUACUGACGCUGAGGCACGAAAGUGCGGGGAUCAAACAGG